GAUGGCGUGACAUGGUUAUCAGGUGCUGGCCACCCUGCGACUUGUUCGCUUACCAAGACUCUCAUAGACUAUAGGAGGAAUGAUGUCUCUCAAGACUUUGCAGUUGGUAUGCAACGCUGGAUUUGCAUUCAUCUCCAGAAGCCAUACCUAGGAAAGACAAGUGCCAGUCAGAAACUUGUAAACCAGGCUUGAUCUCCUCAGAGUCACAGCAGUGCCUUUUUACAGACUUGGUGAAUACCUUGAGAGAGGAGAAUAGGGACAGCUGCUCAAAAGAACUGCUUUGCAGGUGCCAACAGAGGGCACCUAAGGCUUUUCAAGUGAUGAGAACAAUACUGAGUGCCCUUUGGUUGUGGUCRGAAGUGUUGCUUUAGAUGCUUUUCAGCUGGAUGAAGAGGUUACUGCUCCCUGCAGCCUGCUUGUACGAUUGCAUGUUCUAUCACAUCCUAAACUUGCUCUGUGAAGACAUCACAGGAGUUCGAGCUGUGAUUCUAGCACGUUUUGAACUCAGUGAGGCUGGCCUAGUGCUAAACGGUAAACCUACAGUGAACGCAGAUUCUGAUGCUGACAUCUGA
rnacentral:lncRNA from 1 species